UGAAGACACUUACGAUUCCAUUAGAGAUAUUUACACUAUUGAUAAAAUGAAGAAGUUCAGCACAAUACGGACUAGUUUUUAAACAAUUUAAGAAUAUUGCAAGUAUUUGGUGAUUGCUUAAAAAGUACAAUAUAAACUCCAAAUAUUUCAUUACGCCUACAAAAAUAUUUUAAGUCGCAUUUGGGAACAGAUUACGAAAACUUGAUUAUGCUCAGAGACACUAUAUCUCACUUAACAGGAAUACCACAAUGUAAUCAAUAUGACAUAAAACAAGUUGCCAAAUUGACCCACACAAUGGAAUCAACACUUCGAAAGAUUUCAGAUUCAAUAUUCAAUGAAUUCGAUUCUGAUUAUGACUCUGAUUCUGAUAAUUAUAUAUAUGAUUCUCAAAAAGAUCUAAUUAAGACAAUAAACCAAGAAAUUAAUGAUGCUCCAAAAUUGUCAUAUUAUGACUGCUUAAAACAAUUAGAAGAUGCCCUCAAUCAUAAUAAAGAGCAAGGAGAAAUUGAAAUGCUACUUAUGAUCAUAUUGAAUAAUUUAAAUCAAGAACAAGGCAGAUUGAAUGCAAAUCGGGAAUGGUUCAUGGAGAAAUAUCCGACAUUAACUGGCCAACAACUCAGAAACCAUCUUGCACAUGGAGAUCCAAUUGUGGAAUUAAUGGAUGUGGAUAUAAAGAUGGCAGCCAGACACACAGCAAUAAUGCUGAUUAAGGAAUUGAAAAUGAACGAUAAGAACAAUAAAAAGAUCGAGAAGGUUACAAAAAGACCCGCAAUUGAAGUGAUGCGGAAAAUCGAUUAUCAACAAAUAACACACUUGGAAAAGAGAAGAAAUUGUUUCAAAUUAUUAUUGAAGGUGAUUUGGAAAAAUUUAAAGACUACUUACAAAAUAUUAGUUCCGAGUGGGUUAACUGGCAGGAUUUAAGGAAAAGGAAUGCCUUGCAUUAUGCUGCAGCAAACAAGAAAGAUAAUUUAGAGCUAUUUCAAUUUGUUCUUGAAGAAAGUUCAAGCUAUAUGAAACAAAUAAAGACAGAUAGUAGCUUACUAUUUCAAGCUUAAAACAAUUUUAAAAUAGCAAAACGCAUUGCCGAGUUGCAUAUUUGUGCAUUGCUCGAAAACGACAGAACAUUCUUGCAACCAAUUAAUAAUUAUGAUAUAUUGGAAUUAUGCAAGAAAUUAAUCAAAACUGAGAAAAUUCACAGCUUUUGGAACGUUUGUUAUUAUCAAAUAAGUUGUGAUAAUAUAGAGAAUCUAAAACUAUUAUUGGAUUCAAUUUAUUAUUUGUCACUCAAAGACCUAGAUUACACAGUAUCGGGUACUGGGACAAUGAAUUUUCGAAUGUAUCGUAUAGCUUCCUUUUAUAAUGCUAAAAAAGUGAUGAACUAUCUUAUCAACAUUGGAUAUGCAAUCAAUUAUCCUAAUAUCAACCAUCAAGAAAUACAUACAUAUUCCAAUACUGAAAAAUAUAAUGAAUUAAGAGAGAUUAUUAAAAGUGGACAAGUAUUCAAAGUAAAAGAACAUAAAGAAAUAGACGUCAUGAAUAGCUUGCAUUUUGCUGUUCAAAGUAGGAACUCCGAAAUAGUUAAGCAAGUGUAUCAAUGCCUGCCAGUAUUAUUAUUUAAAAAGAAUAAUGAAGACAAAACACCUUUAGAUGUUGCCGUCAAUGAAAAUCGUGUGAAAGAAUUUAACGUUUUAAUCGAACAGGCAAUCAAUAAUUCUUCAAAACAAUUACAAAUGUUUAAGACCUUGGCCAAUGAAAUUAUUAAUUUGCGUGAGUCAAAUAUUUUAGAGACAACAAAGGCGUGGCUGAAAAUGUAUUAUCAAAUACAAUAUAUGCAAUGAAGAUGAACCCCGAGGAAAAAUCGGUUCAAUAUUGGGCAAUUAAAUUGGCUCAAAGCAUGUUAGGAUACUACAAGUCAAACGAACACUUACUUAACAGCUGGAAACAAAUAGCGAUUAAUACACUAUUUCAUUUUUCUGAUGAAUCGCCCAUUGUCACAGAGUGCAUAGAUUUUGUUGUAGAGAUAUUCGACCAUAAGUGGAGAGCACAACCGAAAUAUAAUAUCGCAGAUCAAUUAGAAACCAUCUUAUGUGCCAAAUAUGACCAUUCAUCGAUUAUUUUAGAAAACUCAAUAUUGCAUUACAAAAUAAAAUUGAAUAUGGACAUUGGAGUAAGAAAAUAGCACACCAUGCUAAAUAUGCAAUUGAGACAUUUACGGAUGAUCCUCAUAUUCAACGUUAUGCCAUUAAGUUGAUAUAUCAUUUGCAUAAAAGUGGAACAGAUUCAGGAGUUUAUGAUUUAUGCCUUCGAACAUCGUUGAAAAAGUACUGUCAGUGUUUAAAAAUGACAGCACAGUACACAUAUGUUGUUAUUUGAUCGGAUUUUACUUAAUUUGUUAUGAGUCAACAAAAUUAGAAGAAACUGAUAACAAGAUAAAAUCUGAGAUGAACUACUUUAAUCUAGAAGACGAAUGGGAAAUAUAUUUCAAAAAUUUAGUUAUAAGACACUUCGAAGUUUUGGAAUAUGACUGGUUAACUUAUGCAGUUAAAACCCAAUUUAUGCCAUACAAUCCCAAAAUAACAAAUGAAGAAGUGCAUGCAAUUAGUGAAUUAAUUCAUGCCAUCCAAGAAUGACAAAGAAAACGAAAUAUUGGAAAUUAUUGAUUCAUUUAAAUGAAGAUUCUAAAGAUGAGUUGCUUUCAAUGAGUGUAAAAUACUUAAAUGAUCAACACUUUGAAAUCCCUGAGGACGUUGCCAAAUUCAUUAACACCACUU